AUAGCGUAUAUUAAAGUUGUUGCAGUUAAAAAGCUCGUAGUUGAAUUUUAGCCCUGGCUUAAUGGUCCGGCCUUUUGGUCGGUACUAUUCGGGCCGGGGUUCACCUUCUGGGGAGACGGCGUGCCGUUUAUUCGGUGCGUCGAGUUACCCAGGACUUUUACUUUGAAAAAAUUAGAGUGUUUAAAGCAGGCUUACGCUUGAAUACAUUAGCAUGGAAUAAUAAAAUAGGACUUUGGUUCUACUUUUGUUGGUUUGUUGAACCUGGUAAUGGUUAAUAGGGAUAGUUGGGGGCAUUAGUAUUUAAUUGUCAGAGGUGAAAUUCUUGGAUUUAUGAAAGACUAACUUCUG
rnacentral:rRNA from 1 species